rnacentral:rRNA from 1 species
ACGGAAGGCAGCAGUGGGGAAUAUUGCACAAUGGGGGGAACCCUGAUGCAGCAACGCCACGUGUGGGAAGAAGCAUUUCGGUGUGUAAACCACUGUCGUGAGGGAAUAAGGCAUUGUUUCGGCGAUGUUGAAUGUACCUCGAAAGGAAGCACCGGCAAACUUCGUGCCAGCAGCCGCGGUAAUACGAGGGGUGCAAGCGUUGUUCGGAAUCACUGGGCGUAAAGGGAGCGCAGGCGGAGAUGCAAGCAGUCUGUACAAUGCCGGGGCCCAACCCCGGACCUGCAGACUGGACUGUUUCUCUUGGAUAGUUCAGGGGCAAGCGGAAUUCCCGGUGUAGCGGUGGAAUGCGUAGAGAUCAGGAGGAACACCGAUGGCGAAGGCAGCUUGCUGGGGACUUAUCGACGCUCAUGCUCGAAAGUGCGGGUAGCAAACAGGAUUAGAUACCCUGGUA